AAACUGAAGAGUUUGAUCAUGGCUCAGAUUGAACGCUGGCGGCAGGCCUAACACAUGCAAGUCGAGCGGUAGCAGGAAGUGCUUGCACUUCGCUGACGAGCGGCGGACGGGUGCGUAAC
rnacentral:rRNA from 1 species